rnacentral:tRNA from 1 species
GGGGGAGUAGCUCAGCGGAUAGAGCAGCGGCCUUCUAAGCCGAAGGUCGAGGGUUCGAGUCCCUCUUCCCCCGCCA